rnacentral:lncRNA from 1 species
CUAGAUGUAGCCCAAUUUUAUGCUACACAAGAAAGGAAGUUGCUAGCCCCGUAGUAGUCUCAUGGAGGAUAAAGCCUCCAUUGGGAAUGCUCUUAAAACAUUUCAAUCUUAUACAUUUACUUAUCAUUUCAUUUCAAUAUCAUACAUCCGUUAAAUAUUAUGUCAAUUUAUCUGUCACUUUUUGAUGCGGACCAAAAAAAAAAGAAAAAAAAACCUAAUUGUUUAAAAUAUUAAAAAACUACAAAAACAAUUUAAAAUAAAAAUCUAAAUCCCUACUAUCAAAAAUAAAAAUCUAAAUCCUCCAGCACCACCACCAACCCACCUACGAAACCCUAGUCGUAGAGAAACGCGCACAGCUUCCAUCUCUCUAUUGGCAUAGCCCCAUCUACGAUCAGCCAUGGGGCAAAUUUCACGGAUCGUUAGCACAUGCCUUCAUCCCUUCACGCAAGGACCUGCAACCAGAUCUCGACCUGCUACUGAAACCCAGACCAUAAAUCUGAUUGAAGCCCAAACCACCGCCGCACCUGAUUGAUUCUGAACCAUGAAUCUGUUCUGAACCAUCGCCACGAUAUUAGACCCGAUGAACCACAAAGACCUGCCAUUUGAUUGUCGCGAUGACCUCUGCUGCAAUCUGUUUGAACCACCGCGCCCAGACCCCCUGCACCUGCAUCCCGCAUCCCGCAUCAGACUACCACAGUCUAGCGCCUGUCUCAAGCCAAAUUCUCAUUUAUUUUCUAUUUUCGUGGUGAAAGGGGGCUUCAAGCCCAGAUCCUAUUUCAUCAAUUUUAAAUGGAGUU